rnacentral:rRNA from 1 species
GACGGGACCCCGCACAAGCGGUGGAUCAUGUUGUUUAAUUCGAUGAUACGCGAAGAGCCUUACCAGGUCUUGACAUCCCCCGCGAUGCUUUAGAGAUAAAGCGGAGGUAUUCGGGGAGACAGGUGGUGCAUGGUUGUCGUCAGCUCGUGUCGUGAGAUGUUGGGUUAAGUCCCGCAACGAGCGCAACCCCUAUUGCUAGUUACCAUCAUUAAGUUGGGGACUCUAGCGAGACUGCCAGUGAUAAACUGGAGGAAGGUGGGGAUGACGUCAAAUCAUCAUGCCCCUUAUGACCUGGGCUACAAACGUGAUACAAUGGCUGGAACAAAGGGAUGCGAAGCAGUGAUGUGGAGCGAAACCCAUAAAAACAGUCUCAGUUCGGAUUGAAGUCUGCAACUCGACUUCAUGAAGUCGGAAUCGCUAGUAAUCGCGGAUCAGCCAUGGCGCGGUGAAUACGUUCCCGGGCCUU